GAGCGGAGCUGAGAGGAGGGGCUAGGGGUCCCGGGGCCGCGGAGGCCGGAAGAGGAGCCCGCGGGCGAAGGAGGCGCGGGAGAGGCUGCGCGGCGGGUAGCAGAGGGCCCUAGGAGCUUCUACGGGCCUCAAGUCUACCCGGUGACGUCGAUGCAUUCAGGAUUCCUGGCUGCCGUUGGCGGAGACUGCAGGGCUGCCUCUGGCGGGUAAAGGCUCCUUGACUUCUGGGAAGCCGGUCUGCUCUCAGCCACUUCCGUGGACUUCACUGUGACUGCUGCUGCCUUCAUUUGACAGGAAAAGGGAGAGGUAGUGAACUAAAAUAGUUCCACAUUUAGGAAGUGGCACGAUAUGGCUGGAAGACAGUUAAUUAAACACUUUGUAGGUGAAGUAGACCAGAACAUCACAACACGUUUGUGUUUCAUGCCCCAAAUAAGAAUAUGCACAAGGUUCAGUGGUGUUUAGAAGAGUCCUGCCCUGUGGUUCUAGCACCAGGGAGGGAGGGCAGUGUCAGGAACACCUUCCUGAAGGAGGUGAGGUGAUGUGUGAUUGGGGUUUGGAAGAAGGAAUAGGAGUUUCAGGAGCAGCUACAGGUGGAGAAAUGGGCACAGUCAACAUUUUUCAAGUAUUCAGGAGGGUUGGGCAAAAGUAGAGUGUAGGUUGGAAUGAAGCCAAAAUAACAAAAGAGGACCAAAUCCAAGUGUUUUGGUUUUUUUCCCAUAGAGGCUAAAGAGCAUUAAUUUGAGCCUUGGUUAGAAGAAAGCCAGAAGGAGUUUGAUCAUGGGGGGUAUGUCAGUUGUUCCAGAAAGGUUAAUCUGAAAACAGCAUGGAGAAUGCCAGAACCAGGAAACUUGCUUAUGAAGUUACUGAUAUCUGUCAGGUUGGGUUACUGUGGUAGGCAGAAAGAUAAAUCCGGGAAGGAUGUCCACUCCCUAACCCCUGGCACAUUUUGCAGAUAUGCUGAAGUUUAAAGACAAUGCAAUGAAGAGCUUAUCCUGGAUUAUGUGAGUGGGUCUAAUCGAACCAUGUGAGCUCCAUAAAGUAAAAGAGUGGGUCAGAGAGAUUGAAAGUAUGAGAGGAACUGGACCUAGUUUAGUAGCCAAGGAAUGGGUGGCCUAUAGAAGUUGGAAAUGGACUUCAGACAACAAAAAAAAUGGGAAUCUCAAUCCUAUGAACCCCCAAGGAAGUAAAUUCUCCCAAUAAUCCAAAUGAGCAGAGGAAAGAGGAUCUUCCCUUAGAGCCUACAGAAGGGAACUGUGCUCUUGAGGUAACACUUUGAUUUUAUCCUGUUGAGACCUACACUGGACUUCUACUUUACAACUGUAAAAUAAUAAUUAUAAAUAAUAAAUUUGUGUUGUUUUGAAACCUUA